AAAAUAUAGAAUUGGGAACUAUUUCUUUCCUUUAUGAUUGAUUUGACAGGGAAAUAACUUAGUCUAAGGCUUUGCAUACACUGAUUAUAGAUUUCAGAGUGAGUAAUUUCAGAAAGGAUUUAAAUAAUUCUGAUUCUUCUUUUCCUGUGUGUUUCUUCCAUUACGACAGUUGCAAGCUCCUACGAAGCUCCCACUCAAAAAGAAAAAAAAAACAAAACCUGAAAUCUGAAAUAGAAAUUAUCAGCCCGAGAAUGAGAUGUCCCUAAUGCAUAAAGAGUUCUGCUAAGGAAAUGAAGCAUGUUCUUCAAGCAAGAAAGAAACUCUUUUCUGGAUUACAGUUAUUCUGACAGCCACAGGCCUCACAGAACUAGCAUAGCCAAGAUUUACACUUCAAAGGUCUCUUUCAAAUAGAAUUCACAUCUUUGGAGCCUGGAGUCUCCAUGGAAGAUAUUUGACUGUUCUGAAGCCAUCAUGUUGGUGAGAUCAUGUGGAGAGAAAAAAAUAAAGAAAGAGAUGCCGAGGGAGUGUUACCUAUUUCAACUGCCAGCUAUUCAAGUUUUCCCAGUCCAGGUACCAAACACGAGAGUGAAGAAGCAUUUGAAAUGAUCCUCUGACUGCAUAUACUCUACCAAUGCAACAUGAGAUAUCCCAGCCAGGACUGUCAGCCAAACGGCUCCUGAACUCCUGACCCAGAGAAACUGUAAAAGACAGCAAAUUGCUAUUAUUGUUUUAAACCACUAAGUUUUAGAUGAUUUGUUAUUUAGCAAUAGACAACUAAUACAGUAAUUAAAUAGUGAAAUACUAGCCUUUUGACAAGUAAUAUUAGAAGAAUUGUAUAUGCUGGUAUGAAUCAACUAAAAUCUUAACACCAGUUUUUAAAAAUUAUCUUAACAUUAUUACUAUAACUUGGCUAAUUUAUUUAACUGAACUUGAUUUCCCAGUUAAAAUAAUAAAAUAAUGGUUCCCUUGAAGUAAAUUUACUGAAUUAUAUACAUUACUUCCAAUCAGAUAUUCUUAUAAUACUUUUUCAAGUGCAAACUAUAAUAAAUGUGGAAGUGAGUUCGAUAGGCUUAACUCUUUUUAAUUACUGCUCUAUUCUAGUGGUUAUUUGUGCAGAUACAUCUAAAUACCAGCCUCUAUAACUGUAUCACAUCUUGUUAAAGCAAAUAUCAUUUUUGAAAUUCAAUAAAAUUAUUAGCAGAAAAUAUUGCUGAAAUAUUUGGGUAUUUCCAUUAAAAGUAUACUUCAACAGUACAAAAGGACACUCAAGUAUGUUGUAAAAUAGUAUGUUGAGAAAUUAUGAUUUAUUACUUACAUUACCACAAAAAAGUAACCUUAAAUUUGAUUUGGCAAAAAUAAAG
rnacentral:lncRNA from 1 species